CCUACGGGAGGCAGCAGUGGGGAAUAUUGGGCAAUGGGCGCAAGCCUGACCCAGCAACGCCGCGUGAAGGAAGAAGGCUUUCGGGUUGUAAACUUCUUUUCUCAGGGACGAAGAAAGUGACGGUACCUGAGGAAUAAGCCACGGCUAACGACGUGCCAGCAGCCGCGGUAAUACGUAGGUGGCAAGCGUUAUCCGUAGUUACUGGGUGUAAAGGGCGAGUAGGCGGGACUGCAAGUCAGAUGUGAAAACCACGGGCUCAACCUGUGGCCUGCAUUUGAAACUGUAGUUCUUGAGUACUGGAGAGGCAGACGGAAUUCCUAGUGUAGCGGUGAAAUGCGUAGAUAGUAGGAGGAACACCAGUGGCGAAGGCGGUCUGCUGGACAGCAACUGACGCUGAGGCGCGAAAGCGUGGGGAGCAAACAGGAUUAGAUACCCCAGUAGUC
rnacentral:rRNA from 1 species